GACGAACGCUGGCGGCGUGCUUAACACAUGCAUGUUGAACGGAAAGGCCCUGCUUUUGUGGGGUGCUCGAGUGGCGAACGGGUGAGUAACACGUGAGUAACCUGCCCUUGACUUUGGGAUAACUUCAGGAAACUGGGGCUAAUACCGGAUAGGUGCUCCUGCUGCAUGGUGGGGGUUGGAAAGUUUCGGCGGUUGGGGAUGGACUCGCGGCUUAUCAGCUUGUUGGUGGGGUAGUGGCUUACCAAGUCUUUGACGGGUAGCCGGCCUGAGAGGGUGACCGGCGACAUUGGGACUGAGAUACGGCACAGACUCCUACGGGAGGCAGAAGUGGAGAAUAUUGCACAAUGGGAGGAAACAUGAUGCAGCAACGUCGCGUGCGGGAUGACGGCCUUCGGGUUGUAAACCGCUUUAGCCUGUGACGAAGCGUGAGUGACGGUAAUGGGUAAAGAAGCACCGGCUAACUACGUG
rnacentral:rRNA from 1 species